rnacentral:rRNA from 1 species
CCUACGGGAGACAGCAGUAGGGAAUCUUUCACAAUGGGCGAAAGCCUGAUGGAGCAACGCCGCGUGCAGGAUGAAGGCCUUCGGGUUGUAAACUGCUUUUAUAAGCGAGAAAUAUGAUGGUAACUUAUGAAUAAGGAUCGGCUAACUACGUGCCAGCAGCCGCGGUCAUACGUAGGAUCCGAGCAUUAUCCGGAGUGACUGGGUGUAAAGAGUUGCGUAGGUGGCAUAAUAAGUAGCUAGUGAAAUCUGGUGGCUCAACCAUUCAGACUAUUAGCUAAACUGUUAAGCUCGAGACCGUUAGGGGUAACUGGAAUUUCUAGUGUAGGAGUGAAAUCCGUAGAUAUUAGAAGGAACACCAAUAGCGUAGGCAGGUUGCUGGGACGGGUCUGACACUAAGGCACGAAAGCGUAGGGAGCAAACGGGAUUAGAUACCCUUGUAGUC